GGAUUGUGGCUCAGUGGUAGAACGUUCACUUAGCAUGGGCAGGACCCGAGUUCGAUUCUCAGCACCA
rnacentral:tRNA from 1 species